rnacentral:rRNA from 1 species
CGGAAUAGCCUCUGGAAACGGAGAGUAUACCGAUACGCCCGUUUUGGGGGAAAGAUUUAUCGGAGAAGGAUCGGCCCGCGUUAGAUUAGGUAUUGGUGGGGUAACGGCUACCAAGCCUACGAUCUAUAGCUGGUUUUAGAGGAUGAUCAGCAACACUGGGACUGAGACACGGCCCAGACUCCGUACGGGAGGCAGCAGGUGGGGAAUCUUAGACAAGUGGGGGCAACCCUGAUCUAGCCAUGCCGCGUGAGUGAUGAAGGCCUUAGGGUCGUAAAGCUCUUUCGCCUGUGAUGAUAAUGACAGUAGCAGGUAAAGAAACCCCGGCUAACUCCGUG